AACCCGGUUAAGAUAAAGGAAUGGGUAAAGUACCGUUAGUAGUAAAAGUGAACCCAUAAACAAAAUGACUAGGAAUGAAUUUGCCUAGUGGUAUCAUGUAUAUAAGUAAGAAGAUGAGGAGUUUAGUCCCGUAUGUAAUCAAAAUGAAACAUGAGGGACCAAAACCGUUAAGAUGGAAACAUGGGUUUUAUUUAUGAAAGGUUAAAACACAUAAACACACACUUUCGUGUGUUCUAGAAACGAGCAGGAGCUUCAUGAGAGCUCACAACCCUAACUUUUAUCCAUUUCAUCAGAUUGAAAGGCAAGAUGAAGCUUAAAUUCAUAACCGAACAUGGAUUAAUGAUCACCUUCACAAGGGGAUCAUAAGUAUAGGGAUCAUGUCAAGAUGGAUAGAAGCAUGGAAGGCUAACGGGUCAAAAGGCGGCGAGGAAACGGAUGCGAAUACGGACACUUAAGGUUAGUCAGAUAUUCAUGAUGGACAAGUGAAAGAGGGUCCAGUUGAAGAUCAUGGAUUGUACGGGAAAGUGGUCACGUUGUUUGUAAUUAUUUGUUAACAUAGUUACAUUAAAUAAAUGAUGAAUGAUGUAUUUAUGUUAAAAGGGUUGGCCUAAAUGGUAUUCAAGUAUGAUAGAGUAGUUAAAAGAAAGAAAUUUUACGGUU